GGGGAGAAGGUGGCUGCGGCUGCUGGGGCCGCUGCGCCGGCGGCGGUUCCCGAUGUGGAGGUCCGUCUUGGGUGGGGAGGCACCCAGGUCGCUGGUUCGAUGCAGAGGAAGAAACCACACCUAGCACGUAAAGCCCUGAAAAAAUAGAGGUCUUCUUUUAUGGAAAAAGAUGCACGCAAAGACUAUAGGCCAAGUACAACAACAAGAUAUUACAGCAAAAGGAACCUCUCAGACUGAAGGUACCCACUAUGCAGACUCUGGUGCUUAUUAUUUCCAAGAACAUCUUAUACUUUCACUACAGUUUUAUGAACUACAUGUCUCCAAAAUUUAUAUGAAUGAUAGAUUUAAACAGAUAGAAAUAUGGCAGAAUUCUUUUAGAAGUCAAGAAGACUAACAUAAAAUAAGGAGCUUUCAGAUGGAUCUUGAUCAGAACCACAUAAAAAUAUGGCCAUGUCCUGUCAUCGCAUUAUGAAAUUUACAACACAGCACUGUCAAUAUGUGAUGUUGCAAAAACACAGUGCCACAUGGUAAACAUUGCCGAGGUCUGUGAAUAAAUCCCUCUGAGAGCUUAUGACUCUUUAUGACCCAGUUCACAAAUGAAAUAACUUUUAGAGUAGAGAAACAUUGACUUUUUAGAUCAAGAUAAUGGGAAAUGUUAAAUUCUGACCCAUAACACCAACUGAACUACUGUUUUAAUGCUGUCCUUAAAUAGGCAACAUGUCUAUUAGUUUAAUUUGGUGUUCUAAAUGCUGGAUCUUAUGCAAUUCCUUUAGCCUUGUAUUUAAGAUGAUCUAUUUGGAAAGAUAGGUUAUGGGAAAACUUUCUUAGUCUCAGCCCCUGCAAUUAAACAGUUUAUGUUUCCUCAUUCAACAAAUAUUAAAAUAUAAUAAAGAAUAUGAAAGUAUUUAUAUUAUCUACUUAACAUAGUUUUUUUCCCUAUAUUCAUUUUCUUAUUUAGAUAAAAGAUGUAGGGCAUGAACAAUGCAGUUUCACUGGGAGGUUUACCUUGGUAAAAAGACAGGAGCUAUUACAUUCUAUCUUGUCAAUGAUCCAUGGAUAAUGGGUCAGCAGGGGAUUUAAGAACUGUAUCUUUCAGUUCUUGCCAGAGAGAUACAUCAAUGUGCACUGAUGUGAGCUAUAAUAUGACACACCUUGCAGAACCCUCAAAACCCUUCAGGCACUCUAAGCUGCUUUUAUGAAGAUACGGGACUAAAGGUUGUCAGUUAAGGAUGGUAUUUUGUAAAUAAUUUCGGUAACAGAAUGAUUUCCCUAUUUCUCCAUAUUAAAUUCUAAUGCAUAAGAAUUAAUCCUCAGGUUUAAAAGUCCUUAGUUUUGUUUUGAUUAUUUCCAUUACAUUAGCAGCAGAUCUGUUUUUACCGAUAGGGUAAAACAGACCCAAUAUAUGCGUUGGUUUAUACAUACAUUAUUUUAUAUAUACAUUGUUUAUUGUUAAGUGGGGGUGGAGGGAAGCAAGUUGAAAAAUA
rnacentral:lncRNA from 1 species